AUGGAACAAGGCACCCCUCCCCGGCUGCUAAACCUCAUCCCGGAUGACAAGGGGUGGCAGGCGAGGGAAGCUCAAGCAGGCCACGGAGGAACAAGAUCAACACUCGACGCCGAGCACGAGGAGGGCAAGGAGCUGGACCUCAAGCUCGGCCUCCCCGGAGUCCGGCACCAAGAGGAGGCUGUCCCAGGACCAGUAGAGAGCUGCUCGGCGGUCUCCCUGGCUCGCUUCGCCACGCAUUCAUGUCUCACCACCGGCGCCAAGAGAGGCUUCUUCGACGCCGUUGGGGCCAAACCACAAGAUUAUGAUCGGAGGCAGCAAGAGGACAGGGAAGGGUGUGCACCUGUGCACAGCAGCAGAGACCCCCAGGGGAGAGCUGCUGUUGUUCCGGUAGUCGGUUGGCCUCCAGUCCGAUCCUUCAGGAGAAACCUCACAAAUGGAACUUCAUCUAAGCAAUCCCCCGAGCGACAAAACGUCGAGGCCACCGACAGAGCGAAGCCGGUCUGCAAGAAGAAACCGCUUAUCAAGAUCAACAUGGAUGGGAUACCUAUUGGAAGGAAAGUAGACCUCGCAUCAUGCGACAGCUACCAUAAGCUCUCAACUGCCGUCGAAGAGUUGUUCCAAGGCUUCCUUGAAGCCCAGAAGGAUUUAUCUUUUGAUGAAAGCGGAGUGCGAGGAGCAGAAGAGAAAAUAUUUUCAGGGUUGCUGGAUGGAACCGGUGAAUACGCUCUAGUGUACGAAGACGACGAAGGGGACAGGAUGUUGGUCGGAGACAUACCAUGGAGUGUGUUUGUUUCAACUGCGAAGAGACUGAGGGUCAUGAGGAGGUCAGAGCUUCCCCAGCGUAUGCUAAGUAGUGGAGCUAACUCAACGAAAGUAGCAGAUUGCUGA
rnacentral:rRNA from 1 species